CAAAGGCUUGGUCCUGACUUUACUAUCAGCUCUAGCUAGAUUUACACAUGCAAGUUUCAGCCACCCCGUGAGAACGCCCUCAUCCCAUGCCUUGGAUCAAGGAGCCGGCAUCAGGCACUUAUUUCAUAGCCCAUGACGCCUAGCUUAGCCACACCCUCAAGGGAAUUCAGCAGUGAUAAACAUUAAGCCAUAAGCGAAAGCUUGACUCAGUCAAAGCUAAGAGAGCCGGUAAAACUCGUGCCAGCCACCGCGGUUAUACGAGAGGCCCAAGUUGAUAGACAGCGGCGUAAAGAGUGGUUAGGGAGAACGCCAAACUAAAGUCGAACGCUUCCACAGCUGUUAUACGCACCCGAAAACAUGAAGCCCAACUACGAAAGUGACUUUAAGAAACCUGAACCCACGAAAGCUAGGGAACAAACUGGGAUUAGAUACCCCACUAUGCUUAGCCCUAAACAUAGAAUAAACUUUACUUAAUAUACUCCGCCCGGGUAUUACGAGCAUCAGCUUAAAACCCAAAGGACUUGGCGGUGCUUUACAUCCACCUAGAGGAGCCUGUUCUGUAACCGAUAACCCCCGUUAAACCUCACCUCUCCUUGCUUAAUCCGCCUAUAUACCACCGUCGUCAGCUUACCCUGUGAAGGUCUAAUAGUAAGCUAAAUUGGUAAACCCCAGAACGUCAGGUCGAGGUGUAGUGCAUGGGGAGGGAAGACAAUGGGCUCACAUUUGNUUUAUAAGCAAAUACGAAU
rnacentral:rRNA from 1 species